ACGCUGGCGGCAGGCCUAACACAUGCAAGUCGAGCGGUAGAGAGAAGCUUGCUUCUCUUGAGAGCGGCGGACGGGAGAGUAAUGCCUAGGAAUCUGCCUAGUAGUGGGGGAUAACGUUCGGAAACGGACGCUAAUACCGCAUACGUCCUACGGGAGAAAGCAGGGGACCUUCGGGCCUUGCGCUAUCAGAUGAGCCUAGGUCGGAUUAGCUAGUUGGUGGGGUAAUGGCUCACCAAGGCGACGAUCCGUAACUGGUCUGAGAGGAUGAUCAGUCACACUGGAACUGAGACACGGUCCAGACUCCUACGGGAGGCAGCAGUGGGGAAUAUUGGACAAUGGGCGAAAGCCUGAUCCAGCCAUGCCGCGUGUGUGAAGAAGGUCUUCGGAUUGUAAAGCACUUUAAGUUGGGAGGAAGGGUUGUAGAUUAAUACUCUGCAAUUUUGACGUUACCGACAGAAUAAGCACCGGCUAACUCUGUGCCAGCAGCCGCGGUAAUACAGAGGGUGCAAGCGUUAAUCGGAAUUACUGGGCGUAAAGCGCGCGUAGGUGGUUAGUUAAGUUGGAUGUGAAAUCCCCGGGCUCAACCUGGGAACUGCAUUCAAAACUGACUGACUAGAGUAUGGUAGAGGGUGGUGGAAUUUCCUGUGUAGCGGUGAAAUGCGUAGAUAUAGGAAGGAACACCAGUGGCGAAGGCGACCACCUGGACUGAUACUGACACUGAGGUGCGAAAGCGUGGGGAGCAAAC
rnacentral:rRNA from 1 species